rnacentral:rRNA from 1 species
UACGAAGGGGGCUAGCGUUGCUCGGAAUUACUGGGCGUAAAGCGCACGUAGGCGGAUUGCUAAGUCAGGGGUGAAAUCCUGGAGCUCAACUCCAGAACUGCCUUUGAUACUGGCGAUCUCGAGUUCGGGAGAGGUGAGUGGAACUGCGAGUGUAGAGGUGAAAUUCGUAGAUAUUCGCAAGAACACCAGUGGCGAAGGCGGCUCACUGGCCCGAUACUGACGCUGAGGUGCGAAAGCGUGGGGAGCAAACAGG